rnacentral:rRNA from 1 species
AUUGAACGCUGGCGGCAGGCCUAACACAUGCAAGUCGAGCGAGCGGCGGACGGGUGAGUAAUGUAUGGGGACUUCCCGAUAGAGGGGGAUAAAUCCUGGAAACGGUAGCUAAUACCGCACAAUAUCAGAUAACCCAUAUGUGAUUAUCUAGUUGGUGAGGUAAUGGCUCAACUAGGCGACGAUCCCUAGCUGGUCUGAGAGGAGAAUCAGCCACACUGGGACUGAGACACGGCCCAGACUCCUACGGAGGCAGCAGUGGGGAAUAUUGCACAAUGGGCGCAAGCCUGAUGAAGCCAUGCCGCGUUUAUGAAGAAGGCCCUAGGGUUGUAAAGUACUUUCAGUCGGGAGGCGUUACCGACAGAAGAAGCACCGGCUAACUCCGUGCCAACAGCCGCGGUAAUUC